rnacentral:rRNA from 1 species
CCUACGGGAGGCUGCAGUGAGGAAUAUUGGUCAAUGGACGAGAGUCUGAACCAGCCAAGUAGCGUGAAGGAUGACCGCCCUAUGGGUUGUAAACUUCUUUUAUAUGGGAAUAAAAUGUUACACUUGUGGGAUUUUGUAUGUACCAUAUGAAUAAGGAUCGGCUAACUCCGUGCCAGCAGCCGCGGUAAUACGGAGGAUCCGAGCGUUGUCCGGAUUGAUUGGGUUUAAAGCGAGCGUAGGUGGAUUGUUAAGUCAGUUGUGAAAGUUUGCGGCUCAACCGGAAAAUUGCAGUUGAAACUGGCAGGCUUGAGUACAGUAGAGGGGGGUAGAAUUCGUGGUGUAGCGGUGAAAUGCGUAGAGAUCACGAAGAAUUCCGAUGGCGAAGGCAGCUCACUAGACUGCAACUGACACUGAUGCGCGAAAGUGUGGGUAUCAAACAGGAUUAGAUACCCGGGUAGUC